rnacentral:rRNA from 1 species
UACGGGGGGGCAAGCGUUGUUCGGAAUUACUGGGCGUAAAGGGCUCGUAGGCGGCCAACUAAGUCGGACGUGAAAUCCCCAGGCUCAACCUGGGAACUGCGUCCGAUACUGGAUGGCUUGAAUUCGGGAGAGGGAUGCAGAAUUCCAGGUGUAGCGGUGAAAUGCGUAGAUAUCGGGAGGAAUACCAGUGGCGAAGGCGGCUGCCUGGCCUGUUCUUGACGCUGAGGCGGCGAAAGCUGGGGGAGCAAACGGG